GACGAACGCUGGCGGCGUGCUUAACACAUGCAAGUCGAACGAUGAAGCCUAGCUUGCUAGGUGGAUUAGUGGCGAACGGGUGAGUAAUACGUGAGUAACCUACCUUUAACUCUGGGAUAAGCCUGGGAAACUGGGUCUAAUACCGGAUACGACCAAUCUCCGCAUGGGGUGUUGGUGGAAAGCGUUAUGUAGUGGUUAUAGAUGGGCUCACGGCCUAUCAGCUUGUUGGUGAGGUAACGGCUCACCAAGGCGACGACGGGUAGCCGGCCUGAGAGGGUGACCGGCCACACUGGGACUGAGACACGGCCCAGACUCCUACGGGAGGCAGCAGUGGGGAAUAUUGCACAAUGGGCGCAAGCCUGAUGCAGCGACGCCGCGUGAGGGAUGUCGGCCUUCGGGUUGUAAACCUCUGUUAGCAGGGAAGAAGAGAAAUUGACGGUACCUGCAGAGAAAGCGCCGGCUAACUACGUG
rnacentral:rRNA from 1 species